rnacentral:tRNA from 1 species
GGUGGCAUGGUGCUUAAGCACUUGGCUGCUGACCAAAAAGUUGGUGGUUCGAACCCACCAGCCACUC